rnacentral:rRNA from 1 species
UCAGACGAUGCGUCAUGCAUAUCAAUAAGCGGAGGAAAAGAAACUAACAAGGAUUCCCUUAGUAACGGCGAGUGAAGCGGGAAGAGCUCAAAUUUGAAAUCUUCAAGGUUUUACCUUGACGAAUUGUAGUUUAAAGAAGUGUUUUCUGUUGAAGUUUUGGUAAAAGUUCUUUGGAAUAGGACAUCAUAGAGGGUGAGAAUCCCGUAUUUGACCAUUAUUUUCAGCUGUGUGAUACACUUUCAAAGAGUCGGAUUGUUUGGGAAUGCAGUCCAAAAUGGGUGGUAAAUUUCAUCUAAAGCUAAAUAUUGGCGAGAGACCGAUAGCGAACAAGUACCGUGAGGGAAAGAUGAAAAGAACUUUGAAAAGAGAGUUAAACAGUACGUGAAAUUGUCAAAAGGGAAGCGUUUGACACCAGUGUUGUUUUCUCGAAAAUCAAUUAAAAAUGAGUUAGAUUUUGUAUGUGUAUUGACCUUAACAGCUUGCACUGUACAUUUUUCGUGUCCUUUUUUAAUGCACUUUUCGUUUAACAAGUCAACAUCAGUUUCUUUUGUUGUAAAAAGGUCAUUGGAAGGUGGCUUUCUUUUCGGAGAAGGUGUUUAUAGCCUUUGACUCCUGCAAUCGGAGAGACUGAGGUCUGCAGCGUAGAUCCUUCGGGGUUAGAUACAUUUGUGCUAAGUUAUAGCUUUUUAUAGACAACUUGUUGACUAUAAUUAGUCUUGUAGCUUACUCGCUUAUGCUAUUUUACCUACGCUUAGGAUGUUGAGUCGUAGAGCACGCAG